GGGGGAAUAGCUCAGUUGGUAGAGCACCGGCUUUGCAAGCCGGGUGUCGUGGGUUCGAAUCCCAUUUCCUCCA
rnacentral:tRNA from 1 species